AUUGAACGCUGGCGGCAUGCUUUACACAUGCAAGUCGAACGGCAGCGCGGGCUUCGGCCUGGCGGCGAGUGGCGAACGGGUGAGUAAUGCAUCGGAACGUGCCCAGUAGUGGGGGAUAGCCCGGCGAAAGCCGGAUUAAUACCGCAUACGACCUGAGGGUGAAAGCGGGGGACCGAAAGGCCUCGCGCUAUUGGAGCGGCCGAUGUCGGAUUAGCUAGUUGGUGGGGUAAAGGCUUACCAAGGCGACGAUCCGUAGCUGGUCUGAGAGGACGACCAGCCACACUGGGACUGAGACACGGCCCAGACUCCUACGGGAGGCAGCAGUAGGGAAUUUUGGGCAAUGGGGGCAAGCCUGAUCCAGCCAUGCCGCGUGCGGGAAGAAGGCCUUCGGGUUGUAAACCGCUUUUGUUCGGGAAGAAAUCCUCUGGGCUAAUACCCCGGGGGGAUGACGGUACCGGAAGAAUAAGCACCGGCUAACUACGUG
rnacentral:rRNA from 1 species